rnacentral:rRNA from 1 species
GAGUUUGAUCUUGGCUCAGGACGAACGCUGGCGGCGUGCUUAACACAUGCAAGUCACGGGGGGUAGCAAUACCAACCGGCGAACGGGUGCGUAACACGUGAGCGACCUGCCGAUCAGAGGGGGAUAGCCGGCCCAACGGCCGGGUAAUACCGCAUACGCUCAUGGAGCUGCAUGGCUUUAUGAGGAAACCUACGGGACUGAUCGAGGGGCUCGCGGCCUAUCAGCUAGUUGGCGGGGUAAUGGCCCACCAAGGCGACGACGGGUAGCUGGUCUGAGAGGAUGGCCAGCCACAUUGGGACUGAGAUACGGCCCAGACUCCUACGGGAGGCAGCAGUGGGGAAUAUUGCGCAAUGGCCGAAAGGCUGACGCAGCGACGCCGCGUGUGGGAUGAAGCUCUUCGGGGUGUAAACCACUGUUGCCCGGGACGAACGGCGAGCAUUAGCUCGAUUGACGGUACCGGGUGAGGAAGCACCGGCUAACUCCG